UGGCCAUCCGAGUUGUAAUCUAGAGAAGUGUUACCCGCGUCGGACCGUGUACAAGUCUCCUGGAAUGGAGCGUCAUAGAGGGUGAGAAUCCCGUCUUUGACACGGACUACCGAGGCUUUGUGGUGCUCUCAAAGAGUCGAGUUGUUUGGGAAUGCAGCUCAAAAUGGGUGGUAAAUUCCAUCUAAAGCUAAAUAUUGGCGAGAGACCGAUAGCGAACAAGUACCGUGAGGGAAAGAUGAAAAGAACUUUGGAAAGAGAGUUAAACAGUACGUGAAAUUGCUGAAAGGGAAACGCUUGAAGUCAGUCGCGUUGGCCGGAAAUCAGCCUUGCUUUUGCAUGGUGUACUUUCUGGUUGACGGGCCAGCAUCAGUUUUGACCGGUGGAAAAAGUCCAGAGGAAGGUGGCAUCUUCGGAUGUGUUAUAGCCUCUGGUCGUAUACAUCGAUUGGGACUGAGGAACUCAGCACGCCGAAAGGCCGGGUCUUUGACCACGUUCGUGCUUAGGAUGCUGGCAUAAUGGUUUUAAUCGACCCGUCUUGAAACACGGACCAAGGAGUCUAACAUGCCUGCGAGUGUUUGGGUGGAAAACCCGAGCGCGUAAUGAAAGUGAAAGUUGAGAUCCCUGUCAUGGGGAGCAUCGACGCCCGGACCAGAAGUUUUCUGACGGCCCUGCGGUAGAGCAUGUAUGUUGGGACCCGAAAGAUGGUGAACUAUGCCUGAAUAGGGUGAAGCCAGAGGAAACUCUGGUGGAGGCUCGUAGC
rnacentral:rRNA from 1 species